rnacentral:pre_miRNA from 1 species
UUAACUCAAAAUUGUAUAAAGUUGGAACGUUUACCUACGUUUGCCGCUAGGGACGCUGCUCCACCUUCAUACCAAUUUGACUCA